rnacentral:RNase_P_RNA from 1 species
CUUUGACCGCUCUGAGGAAAGUCCGGGCCUCACAGAGCACGGUAACUGCUAACGGCAGCCGAGGGUGACCUCAGGGAAAGUGCAACAGAAAACAAACCGCCGCAGCAAUGCGGUAAGGAUGAAACGGCGAGGCAAGAGCUCACCAGCGCAUGGGUGACCAUGCGGCUUUGUAAACCCUACCGGAAGCAACGCCUAUAUGGGACGUACAGCGCUGCUCGCGUGUCCCGAAGGCGGCAUGAACCUC